rnacentral:tRNA from 1 species
GUGGUCGUAGCUCAAUUGGUAGAGUCCCAGCUUGUGGAGCUGGUUGUUACGGGUUCGAGCCCCGUCGACCACCCA